GGCCUCCCAAUUUUUACUACAGGCAGUGUUCUUUACACUGACUGUAUAGAAAGAGGAGGUAUAGUAAAUGCACCCCAUAUACACCUCAACCCAGGCCCUUUUUGCCUGGUCUGUAUUGUGAAUUGGGGGACAAAA